CAGCCGCCGCGGUAAUACGAAGGUCCCGAGCGUUGUUCGGAAUCACUGGGCGUAAAGGGAGCGUAGGCGGCGUGGUAAGUCAGAUGUGAAAUCCCGGGGCUCAACCCCGGAACUGCAUCCGAUACUGCCAUGCUAGAGGAUUGGAGAGGUAGCUGGAAUUCCUGGUGUAGCAGUGAAAUGCGUGGAGAUCAAGAGGAACACUCGUGGCGAAAGCGAGCUACUGGACAAUAACUGACGCUGAGGCUCGAAGGCCAGGGUAGCGAAAGGGAUUAGAUACCCGUGUAGUCCCUGUCUCUUAUAC
rnacentral:rRNA from 1 species